rnacentral:misc_RNA from 1 species
UUAACUUAUUAUAUAGUACUCAGACGACACGUAAACAAAAGGGUUGGGUCCUCUGGCAAGCACUCCACGGCCGAAGCCACGGGCCACGAGGGCGGCCUGCCAAAGCAACAAUAGUAAAUAACACAGGGUGGGAGGUCUACCCGUGAGGGCAUGAUCUCUGUAAUGAUCCUUCCGCUGGUUCACCAACGGAAA